GUAUAAGUUUACCGACGCUUUUUUAAGGCGAAGAUAUCGAUUUUACAUUCUAUGAGACAUGCGUCGAUGAAAUGAGACGUAGGGACCCUUUUUACAGGCCCUUACAUUAGGUUCACAAGUGUGUGUGGAUUAAGGGCUCGGGCGUGCACAUGCCCCGAGAGGCCAGCUACAACCCUCACCUAUAAUUUCAAUAAUGAUCCUUCCGCAGGUUCACCUACGGAAA
rnacentral:misc_RNA from 1 species